UACGUAGGGUACAAGCGUUGUCCGGAAUUAUUGGGCGUAAAGCGCGUGUAGGCGGCCAAGUAAGUCUUACGUGAAAUCCUGAGGCUCAACCUCAGGCCUGCGCGGGAUACUGCUUGGCUAGAGUCCGGAAGAGGAGAGUGGAAUUCCUGGUGUAGCGGUGGAAUGCGCAGAUAUCAGGAAGAACACCCGUGGCGAAAGCGGCUCUCUGGAACGGUACUGACGCUGAGACGCGAAAGCGUGGGGAGCGAACAGG
rnacentral:rRNA from 1 species